GGGGAUGCUAAGGGAGAUAAAGCCAAGGUGAAGGACGAACCACAGAGAAGAUCCGCGAGGUUGUCUGCUAAACCUGCUCCUCCAAAGCCAGAGCCCAAGACUAAAAAGGCCCCUGCAAAGAAGGGAGAGAAGGUACCCAAAGGGAAAAAGGGAAAAGCUGAUGCUGGCAAGGAGGGGAAUAACCCUGCAGAAAAUGGAGAUGCCAAAACAGACCAGGCACAGAAAGCUGAAGGUGCUGGAGAUGCCAAGUGAAGUGUGUGCAUUUUUGAUAACUGUGUACUUCUGGUGACUGUACAGUUUGGAAUACUAUUUUUUAUCAAGUUUUAUAAAAAUGUGGAAUUUUGUUUUACUUUUUUUUUUUUUUAAAGCUAUGUUGUUAGCACACAGAACACUUCAUUGUUGUUUUUGGGGGAAGGGGCAUAUACAAAUUUGUUUUUAUGUCCUCUUCUCCCUUUCCAUCUUUCAGCAUAGACUUAACUCCCUUAAGCCCAGACAUCUGUUGGGACCUGACCCCUAGUCAUUGGUUACCAGUGUGUCAGGCAAUCUGGACUUUCCAGUGAUGCCACUGAGAUGGCACCUGUCAAAAGAGCAGUGGUUCCAUUUCUAGAUUGUGGAUCUUCAGAUAAAUUCUGCCAUUUUCAUUUCACUUCCUGAAAGUCAGAGAUGGCUUGUGAAAAGUUGUUAAACACCAUGCUAAAUGUGAAAUGUCAACCCUCACUCUAAACUUUCCCUGUUCAGAGCAUCAGAUGAAGACUUCAUUGGGUUUUAUAGUGGCUUUCUGAUUUUUGGUAGUCCAUUGAAGAAGGGAGUUUGAAAGUUGUUGUAUACUGUUAACGAUUGUCUGCCCAUGUCCUGCCUGAAAUACCAUGAUUGUUUAUGGAAAGUAUCUUUAAUAAAGCUGGAUACAGUUUGGCUUGGAAAAAAAAAAAAAA
rnacentral:lncRNA from 1 species